UGGGGAAUAUUGGACAAUGGGCGAAAGCCUGAUCCAGCCAUGCCGCGUGUGUGAAGAAGGUCUUCGGAUUGUAAAGCACUUUAAGUUGGGAGGAAGGGCAUUAACCUAAUACGUUAGUGUUUUGACGUUACCGACAGAAUAAGCACCGGCUAACUCUGUGCCAGCAGCCGCGGUAAUACAGAGGGUGCAAGCGUUAAUCGGAAUUAAUGGGCGUAAAGCGCGCGUAGGUGGUUUGUUAAGUUGGAUGUGAAAUCCCCGGGCUCAACCUGGGAACUGCAUUCAAAACUGACUGACUAGAGUAUGGUAGAGGGUGGUGGAAUUUCCUGUGUAGCGGUGAAAUGCGUAGAUAUAGGAAGGAACACCAGUGGCGAAGGCGACCACCUGGACUAAUACUGACACUGAGGUGCGAAAGCGUGGGGAGCAAACA
rnacentral:rRNA from 1 species